UGUUGCCCAAGGUGACAAUCCAAGAGGGGGGGUGAAUUGGUUUCUUCUAAAUUUUUGGUACUUUUAAAACUUUCUUAAUUAAGUGCGAUGGAUGCUCUCUUAGGUUAUUUAAGUGAGUUAAUCUAAUGCAAGAAGAGAAGAUAAAGCAAGAGAAAAUGAAAGCACAAACACAAUGCAAACACACCAAUAUAUAGUGGUUCGGUGCUCUCCUUAGCACCUACGUCCACUCCCCAAGCGUACCCUUAGGAAUUCACUAUAAUCUUGCGGAUUACAGUUGGAUUGUUUUCCGGGCUCACAAUCCAAAAACCUUGUUGGUUUUACGGGCUCACCAACGAACCUAUACACUUGGUUUUCCGGGCUCACCAAGAACCUUGUUGGUUUUGCGGGCUCACCAACGAACCUAUACAACUUUGGUUUUCCGGGUUCACCAAAAACCUUUGUUGGUUUUGCGGGCUUACCAACGAACC
rnacentral:lncRNA from 1 species